GCUGGCGCCCGCUGCAGCGCCUAGCCAUACUGCAACGCCGCCUCCCCACUGCUAGAGCACUCUAGCCGCGUUGGGACUCCGGGCGCAGCCUGCGGGAGGCUCCCCACCGCUGCCUACGAGGCGGGAGUUGGGGAAUGGAGCAAAGAGGGAAGAAGGCGAGGCCUGGGGUAGGCCAGAGAAUCGCCUCAGACCGGUAGCUCGGAGAUUAGAGUAAGAAAGGCAGAUUUCUGUCAGAGGGUGGUCAUCUGGAACCAAGCCAGGGGAGUCCAGUUACUCUUAAAAUUCUGAACGGAAUCUUGAAAGGUACCAGGAGGAAAGGAAAGCCAGGGCACAACGAGCAGAGAGGAAAAAAUGAAAAGUGAGAAAUGGUGAGGACAUACAAAGCAAGGGAGCGUGAAGAACAAUGGAUAUGGGAAAAUUCAAAUUACAGCUGCAAAACUGUGCUAUUGGCCUGGAAGGGUGGUCAGCACAGGCUGCAGGGACCCUGACAGAGGCAAGAAAAAGGAGACCUGGCUUAGAUCGCUGCAGCUGACCCAAAGUGUCCUCAAAGAGACAUAUCCUGGGCGCUCCCGACCGGCAACCGACUGACGUAGAGAUCCGCUUGCGGGAGGUCGGGGCCAAGGGGCCCGGGCUGACCGUGGACUGAAUGAAUAUUCGGCGGGCAGGUUGGGGAUCCGAGACCGCGCAAGACCCAGGACCUUCCUCUGCUACACCCAAAGCCAUUGCGAACGGGGCGAGACCCUGUGACCCCCGAAGAU
ensembl:lncRNA